rnacentral:rRNA from 1 species
UACGAGGGGGGCGAGCGUUGUUCGGAAUUAUUGGGCGUAAAGGGUGCGUAGGCGGUUUGGUAAGUCUGAUGUGAAAUCUAUGGGCUCAACUCAUAGUCUGCAUCGGAAACUGCCGGGCUUGAGUCCGGAAGAGGUGAGUGGAAUUCCGAGUGUAGAGGUGAAAUUCGUAGAUAUUCGGAGGAACACCAGUGGCGAAGGCGGCUCACUGGUCCGGUACUGACGCUGAGGUGCGAAAGCGUGGGGAGCAAACAGG